rnacentral:rRNA from 1 species
UACGUAGGGUGCAAGCGUUGUCCGGAAUUAUUGGGCGUAAAGAGCUCGUAGGCGGUUUGUCGCGUCUGCUGUGAAAGCCCGGGGCUUAACCCCGGGUCUGCAUUCGAUACGGGCUAGCUAGAGUGUGGUAGGGGAGAUCGGAAUUCCUGGUGUAGCGGUGAAAUGCGCAGAUAUCAGGAGGAACACCGGUGGCGAAGGCGGAUCUCUGGGCCAUUACUGACGCUGAGGAGCGAAAGCGUGGGGAGCGAACAGG